UUAGACGCUAGUUAAGGCCAGGAAAGAACCAUCGCCAAUGCCCAACUAACCACUUCCUCAUAAUUCUAAGACAACACAUACACAGUUAGCAUUGUUAAAUCACUAAGAGUACAAAAAGAGACAGUAAUAUAUUAAAUGUAAAAAUGCCUUGCACUUAAAAAGCAGCUAUGAUUAUGUUUAUCCGUUCUGUGCAAUCCCAAAUCUGUGGAAUAGAUAUGGGAUGAAACGAUGGAGAAUGCUGUAUAAUUACUUCCCUAAAUGCAGAUAGGUAGUCACUGACUGUAACAAGAUCAAAACCCAACUUUUCAUUUCUAAAAGUCAUUUUGUCCUUGAAAAUGCUGCCACUUUAUGAAUUGUUCCUGAAAGACGAAGCAAUCUGGAAGGUGUGAGGUCCGUUUCCUGUUCCUGAGACUAUGGAGAUCACAGAAGGUGGCAGUCGCUCCAGCAGCCGACGACUUGGAUAGACACGAAAUGAAGACAGCCUGGGAAAAAAAAUCCCCGGGCAGCUCUGCAGUCAUCUCUGGGAGUGCGCGAAGAGCCCGGAAGGGGAGGAGACUGCCGCUGGCGCGCCUUGGGCCCGCCUCCAAGUGUUGGCUCUGUCGCUGGGCAACGGAACUUGAUGCAAAGUGUUAUAAAUUACAGCAUUUCUUUUACUUUAAAAAAAUCACUAUUUGGGGCCGGGGAUUUAGCUCAGUGGUUCUGGGGCCUUCUUCGCAAGCGCAAGGUCGUGAGUUCGAUCCCUGGAACCAAAAAAUAAAAAAAAAUUUUUAAAAAUCA